rnacentral:misc_RNA from 1 species
GAUGAAGAACGCAGCGAAAUGCGAUAAGUAAUGUGAAUUGCAGAAUUCAGUGAAUCAUCGAAUCUUUGAACGCACCUUGCGCCCUUUGGCUAUUCCAAAGGGCAUGCCUGUUUGAGUAUCAUGAACACCUCAACUCUCAUGGUCUGCCAUGAUGAGCUUGGACUUUGGAGGUCUGCUGGCCUGUGGUCAGCUCCUCUCAAAUGAAUCAGCUUUCCGGUGUUUGGUGGCAUCAUGGGUGUGAUAAAUAUCUACGCUUGUGGUUUUCCACCAGGUAACCUUCAGUGAUGGGGGUCCGCUGGGGCUCAUAAAUGUCUCUCCUCAGCGAAGACAGCUUUGUGAAUGUUUGAUCUCAAAUCAGGUAGGACUACCCGCUGAACUUAAGCAUAUCAAUAAGCGGAGGA